ensembl:misc_RNA Metazoa_SRP Metazoan signal recognition particle RNA
GCCGAACGUGGUGGCGCGUGCCUGUGGUCCCGGCUACUCGGGAGGCUGAGGUGGGAGGAUCGCUUGAGCCCAGGAGUUCUGGGCUGUGGUGCGGUAUGCUGAUCGGGUGUCUGCACCAAAUUCACCAUCAGUAUAGUGACCUCCCGGGAGCGGGGACCACCAGGUUGCCUAAGGAGGGGUGAACCGGCCCAGGUCGGAAACGGAGCAGGUCAAAACUCUCGUGCUGAUCAUUAGUGGGAUCGCGCCUGUGAAUAGCCACUGCACUCCAGCCUGGACAACAUAGCGAGACCCCAUCUCUU